GCCUGGGUGGCGGAAUUGGUCAGACGCAACGGACUUAAAAUCCGUUGGCCGAAAGGCCGUGUGGGUUCGAUUCCCACCCCGGGCACCA
rnacentral:tRNA from 1 species